rnacentral:lncRNA from 1 species
UGAGGAUAAAGGAGGCUCCCAUAAAUUCACAAGCCAGAAGAGUCAUUUGGAAAGUCUCUUGUCCCACCUGACGAAAAUACCCACAGGUGUGGAGGGACAGGCCACCCCUUCAUCUGCCGCCCAACGUGGGUGCCUUUCUCUAAGGUGAAGUUACGCUAAGAAGGUGAGCAUGAAAGACAAGUCAACGAAAGAGUCCCAAGUACGUCCAUGGUCAGCCUUGCGGAGCAGCAGCCCAAAGCUACUGGAGGAGAGAAGAAGGGAGGAGGAAGCGUCUGGGCAUGAGAGCAGCAGGAGUUGAGGUUACAGAGCUGUCGAAAUCUCUCCUGCCUGGACCAAAG